AAGGCAUCAUGAGGAUAUUUUUAAAGGAGUGAUUUAAAUCUCUCUAAUGAUUCAAAAAUAGAAUUGUCAUCUAACUGUUUAAAUUAAGUGAUAUCAUUUCUAAGCUU